UGACCUUUUCCGCCACGGUCGUAGGGUGCCCGGCACAAGACAGGGCUGGCUGCAUUCUUUGGGGGCUGAACCAGAAUGCAAUGCAGGCAAAGGCAGAGCUGGCUCAGCAUUCAUUAGAUUGUAGAUCCACUGUUGAACUUAAUACAGUAAAACCUUUCUCUCCUUUUAAGUCCUUUUGUGCACAGAAUCUUGUAAGUAGUGCACUCACUGCUGGGGAUUUAGGAUUCUUACAUAUUUUCACAAUGUGACUGCCAGCAUCCAAGCUCCCUAGAUUUGGAUGGGUAUCAAGUUCUACCGCAAACAGCAGCAUUGGCAGCUGUGGGUUCUCACCCCUCUCUGAGCUCAGCCAGCUCUGAGGCUGAGCUGGCAGUUACCUUCCCUGGCUUUGUACUGUCAGGACUCUGGGGUCUGCCUGCUUUUGUCCCCAGCAUUAUGCAGCCUCAACACAGCUAGGCCGGGAUGGGGGCACUUUAUGACUUGUCUUUCCACCUCAAAGAAUAGUCAACACCUUGAGUCAAGAGCCAGCCAAUCUCCCUUGCCAUCAAUGUUGCCCAAGCACAUGAGAUCACAUCAUUCCUUCCAUGGCAGAUGCUUUAAAACCGGGGUCCCCUGGAGCCUUCCCCAGCUUUGGGGUUGUCUGUUGGGUCCCUGCAGGCAUGAGUGGGGAUGCAGGACUCUAGGAUUCUCUCUCCCAACAGACACAUACUAUUCCUCGUUGAAGGGUCACUUGGUUUUAAGGAAGGUUUUAUAUAAAAGCAUUCAACCAGAUGUUUUUUGUUUGGCUCGUUUUUGGUAUGUGUGUGUGUUUUACAGUGUGAACAACGGUCUUGAAAGAAUUCCUUUCUGAGAUUCACUGCACUCCCUCAACAAUGAUUGCUGUUCAUCACACUCCCUAUCUGUCUGUACCUCAGUCACUUCCUUGAAACUAACUGCUGUGUCUUUGAUUACUAGUCGGUUGGUCUAAGGCAUAAGCAAGAGAAGUAGGGGGGAGAGGGAGAGGAGGAGGAAAAAGGGAGAGGAGGAGGAAAAAGGGAGAGGAGGAGGAAAAAGGGAGAGGAGGAGGAAAAAGGGAGGGGAAGAAGAAUAAGGAGGAAAAAAGGGAGGGGAGAGAGAGAGGGAAAGAGGGAGAGAGAGACAGACAUGGAGGGAGAAGGAAAGAUGUUGUUUAGGAUAGUUAGGAGCAAUAACAUUAUCACAUAUGUUAUGAUAACAUAUAAUAACAUACAAUGUUAUCGCUCCUAACUUGUAUGAGAACCGCCGAAGCAUUUCCAGUUUCAUGCUAUCUUGCUGAAGCACAACAAAUUCAGAGGAAUAACACUUGCAAUAUCUUGCCCUAGGCUUUGUUCUCAACUAAGCCUUUAUAUUUUUGACCCCUAGAGAAGGUUUAUGUUUCUCAGGUGCCGGGUACGGUCUGGAACACCUGUCAGGGUCUCACACGGUGCAGCCUCACUCAUUCAGCCAGUGUUCCUGCAGUGACUGACCUCUGCCUUCUCCUCGGCACAUAGAAGAUGCUGUUUUUCUCCUUUUUCUCUUUGCUCCUGACUCGGAGCAGCUCAUUCAUUUCUAGGAUUUUACUUUAGUUGCUGUUGAUGUGGAGAACAUUCGUAUCUGCUAGAGGCCCAGUGUCUGGCAGGUGGCAGCUGUUACUAAAUGAGGAAAUGCAAGUGUGUGAAAAUGAAGGGAGCGGUGGGUGAGUGAGGACUCCCAGUGCGGAGGAUGGCCGUGUGCGUCUCCCGUUUGGCCUCUCAAGCUCUUUCCAUGUGGUGUUCUGUCGUCAUUUAUUUCCACUGAAGGAAAACCUUGAGUGUUAAACUAAACCACGCAUCUCACUCCUAUUCUCAACCUCUCCUUGUGCAAAUUCUUCACACUCAGCCUUACCAUUUCCUUUCCGCUGUCUUAGGAUCAUCACCAAGUCCACACAGCUGCAACCAAACCUGCUGUCAGCCCGCACAGUUUGCCCUGCUGACUUCCUUCCUUCUUUCCGGCUUUUCAGGUGUCAGAGCUUUGAGCCGUCUCUGAUGUGUGCAUUCCUGUGCCUCUUUUUCCUACCCCAUCAACAAUUUUGGAUCCUUAAGUCCCAAAGAAACUCCACAAAUGAGCUCACCUGUGGGGCUCAGACACUACCCAUGGUAUUUUAUGGCGUUGUUAAACAGCACCAAGAAAUCAGAAGAGCUAGGAGGCGUAUGUACCCGCCGGAACAGGGAGUCUGUAAGAAGGCCGUCACAGCCUGCUCUGGGUUGCUUUGCUUGCUCUUCCUGACAGAGGGCACAGAUGGGACGGCUUAAGCAGCAGAUUUCUUUUCUCAUAGCUCGAGAGGCAAGAAGUCCCAGAGCGAGGCGUUUGCAGGGCUGGCUUCUCCUGGGGCCCGUCUUCUGGGCUUGCGGAUCUUCAUCACAAGCUCGCGUGUCAUCCCUGUCAGCCCAAGUGUAGCCCUGACAUCUCUACCUCCGCUGCCAGCGGUGCCAGUCAUACAGAAUCGGACUCUUUGGCUUCCUUGGAACUUCAUCACCUGUUUCAGGGACCUAUCUGCAAAGGCGUUCACGUACUAAAGCACUUAGGUGUUAGGGCUUCAACAUGGGAAUUUUGCUAGGAGGAAGGGGUGGGGGCGUAAUUCUGUGCAUAACAGCUUCUUAGAUGAGGGACAAAGGGAUUCAGCAGAGAACACAAUGGAGGAAAACCUAGUCCGUACUAGAGGGUUUUUGAAAAACAGGAAAGAUUUUGAGUGGGGAAAAAGAAAAGUUAGAUUUUAACACAAAGACUAAGAAACUCAAAAUAUGUGUAAAAGGCACUAAGAACCAACAAAUCCGCAAAAAUUAACAUCCAAUGUGAUGCCAGAUCAGUGAUGGACAUCUUGAUAAUUUUGGAAAAUGUGCUUUUUUGGAAGUGUGCUGCUGCUGUUAUUUUUCUCAUUUUGCAGCGGGGAGCUAAGAGAGGCAGGCAGUGACUACCAGCAGGGUUCUUCCAAGAGAGCAUGGCUGCCCUGACCCACCACGUCACUCCAGCCCCCUGAGUGACAGGAAUGCACGUGCUGCAGAUUGAUUGCAGGACUUUGACCAGCCAGGAGGAGCUGAGACAGAAUGGGCAAGCAGUAUAGCUUUAAACUCCAAUCCUGACAAGGCAGUUGGAUAAAUAUUUAACCCGGGAUAACAGGAAUUUGGAGGUAUGUAUGGCAGUGGGAGAAUCUUUCUGUUUGACAGAUCUAGGAGCUUUUUCCUGGCCACUCUUCCUCUGAGAGGAUCCCCAAGUAAACACGUACGGUUGCACACUAUGCUUGAACAAGGACGCCUGUGAACAACCCCUUGUGCAGUGAUUCAGGUCUCGGGGAGUGUGAGACAGGGUGGUUUCAAUCUCCCUCUUCUCCUCCCAGCUGGGAGAACUGGGCCAGGUCAUCUCACCUGUUUAUUUUAUCAUCUGCGGCACCUGGGUGCCAUUUGUCAAAAGCAUUAGGGCUCCAGGCAGGGGGCAUUUCUCAACCCUAGAUGUAUUGACAUCUUAGGACAGAGGAUAAUUCUUUCUACAGCAGGAAAGUGGGACACAGUGGGGGCUGUUCUGUGGAGUCUAUGAUGUCCAGUACAUCUGUAUCCUCAAUCCACUCAGCCCCAGUUGUGACAAAUUUUCAGCCAGUGCCACAAGUCUCCUGGCAGCAAAAUGCACCCUCCCCCAACACACACCAAGUUGAGACCCUGUUAUCUUGGUUGUUGAUUUCAGUGCACUGUGACUCUGAGUGCUGUGCAGUUACUGGUAUACACGUAAGACACCUCCAUACUGAGAGAUAGUGAGACUGCUGCCCACCACACCAACCUGUUUAAAACAUAUUAAUAACUUUACACCAAAGCAGGCCACCUGAGAGUCUACAAAUUAAAAGAUCCAGGAGAGUUUGUGGCUCCAGCCUUGAUCUGUGUCCCAGUCCCCAGUGGGCUGUAGGAUCAUUUCUGGACUUUUCCUUGCUGAUCCAGCACCUUCAGGGAAUUAUCUGGAAAGUCAUGCAGCCUGUCCCUUGGCGACUCAGUGGUGUGACAGGAAGCCAAGGCUGGGACUUUCUGCCCCGACUCCCUUGCCAGCUAUCGUGGGGCAAGGGAGCAGAGCCAGAGUGAGUAAGCUUGCGCGUGCUGGGCUGCACUAGAUGUUCACACACCUGAAGUCAUUUAACUCCAGCAUCUGCAAGGUGCAGAUAGGAGUUGGUUUUCUAGAUCAAGUGCUUGCUUGUCAGGUUCAUACACCUGGUAAGCGAAGGCGUCAGGGUUUGAAACCAGGAGUGAUUUAACCUAAGUUCUACUGUCUUCCCACUUUUCUAGGCUAUCAAGCCAGAACUUACUAGGCAAGCAACGAACAUAAAAAAUACAAACCCUCAAGAAAAAAAUCAACUCUAACUCCGGUCUGUUUAGACGAUAAUUAGGAAAGUGUCAGGGAUUCAGGGCUUUCUCCUACCCAGUGCUUCCCAGACUCCAAUGUGAGGAUCACCUGGGGACCUUGCUAGAAACGCAGAAUCUGGCUGAGCUGGUCCGGGUGGAGCCUGGGGUUCUGCUUUUCUGUUACCAGGCUCUAAGUUAGGUCAGUCCUGCUGCUCCCUGGACUGCACUUCCAAGCUCUGGCUGCAUCAGAAGCACCAGGAGGGCUUCUAAAAGCACAGUUGCUCUAAGUGCAGACUGGUGCAGCUGCCGUGGAAAACAUGCGACAGGACUUCAGGACGUGGAUCUAUCGUGGGACCCAGCAACCCCACGCCUAGCUCUCCACAGCCAUCCCUCAGUCGCCACGGGCGAUGGGCCCUGCACUCCCUCACCCCCUCCACCAUGCCUAUCAAACUGUGCGGAUGCUGCAGCCCCUCAAGCUCACAUAAAAGGGUGCAAUGUUGCAUAGAAGCUAUGCAUUUCCUCCUUUAUAUCAUCACUGGAUUACUCAUAAUACUUACUACAAGAUAAAUGCUGUGUAAGUAGAUGUUAUACUAUAUUGGUUAGAGAAUAAUGACAAGAAAACUGAAUUUGAACACAUUAACUCUAGACACACUUUUUAAACGACUUCUUUGAUCCAUAGCUGAAUCCACGAUGCAGCACUCAGAAAAGGCAGGCCACUUGUGUCUGAGAACAGAAAAUACACAAACACUGUCCACAGAUGUCCAGAGCAGUAUUACUCACGAUAUAACCCCAAUGCCCACAGGCAGGCCACUGGAUCCAGAGUGUAGCAUAUUCACACAGUGAAAUAUUAUUUAGCCUUGAAAAGGAGUGAAGUAUUGCUCUGUGUUAUGUUAUGAACAGACCUGUAAAACAUUAUGCUAAGUGUAAGAAACCUGGCACAAAAUCCAUGCAUUGUAUGACUCCACCUUUAAAAAGUGUCUGGAACAGACAAAUCCAGAGAGACAGAAAGCUGACAAGCUGGGGCCUGGGAGAUGGCAGAACAGAGUGACUGCUUAGUGGGUGUGGGGUUUCCUUUAGAGGUGAUAGCAAUGUCCUCAAACUAGGUAGAGGUGAUGGCUCCCCAACACGAGUGUGCCAAAUGCCCCCUGCAUUGCAUACUUUAAAAUGGUCAAAGUUGUUUUAUAUUUUAUUUCCAUAGAGAAAAUGUCUAGGGCUCAGCCCCAGAAUUUCUGGCUUCAUGGGUGUGGAUCGGGACCGAGGAUUUCUCUAACAGACUUCCAGGUGCUGUGGCUGGUUCUCAACCAUGCUUGCAGUAAUAAGGUGGUGGACUUUGAAACACCUGGAGCUAUAGAUGUGGUCAAACUAGGAGAAAACCAUCGGGCACUGUUGCUUUCCAUAGUACCCUGCUCAGUGGAGAGGAGAACACCUGCCACCCCUCCCAGGCCAUGUGCCUGAAAUGCGUGCUUCAGCUUGGAGAAGUCCAAUGAAGGUGUAAAUUUUGUUGCUUGACUUGACUCCAGCUGACCUUGGAAGAAGCAAGACAUUGGCUGAUAGCCUUCAUUAUGUUCUCCUGAGACAAGAUCAUGCUAGUCUUGGCCUGGAUUAUUAGGUGAGCGUAAGCUAAUGCAGGCAGAGAAUCUUGGUGCCCCUUCCUAUACCACCUCAGGCAGAAAGGUUGCAACAUUUCAGCUCCCUGAUGUGUUAAUAGGGUGUUUAUUUGCAAAGCCUUUCCUCUUUCAUAAUUUCCAUGUAGCCAUACAGCCUCAGGUUAGAAAAACAGGUAUCUUCACCUAGGUGUUGAGAAGUUUGUGAAGUCCUGUGUUCUCUCCAAGGGCAUCAAGACCUUUGGCUGGGCGAAUAUUAGGAAAUGUUACCAACUCCUGGCUUAUGUCAACCCAAGAGAACCAACACCAGAUCUGCAGCCACUGAUGGUGGGGGAAGGUGAGAGGAGAAAGGGAGUCUAUAUUUCUUCCAUAAGCUCCAAAAUGGUAACUUCCACUUGCCUGUUUUUAGUUCAUUCCCAAUAAUAUACCACAGUGGAUAGGAAAGACAAUGACUACCAGAAUGAGUGACAAAGUCAAUGCUGAAUUUAUGCACCUGCCGGACAGGGGCACACAGGCCAGGGAACCAAUUCACUGAGUAGUUUGCCGAGGAAGAAAAGGCUGAAGAAAUAUGUUGGAGAACAAGGGGGUGAUGUGUUCAUGGGGGGCCAUAUUAAGAAGGACAAAGUUUGCAGCCCGGGUGUAGGAACAGCAGAGUGAGUCCGGAGUUCUCCACGUGGUUGGUGACAAAGCUCAGGCUGCCGUCACAGAUCCAUGGCCUUCUACAACAUCAACCUGUUAUCUCCCAGUUCUGAAGGCUGGGAGGCCCAGAUCAAAGUGUCAGCAGGGAUGGGUUCUGAUGAGGGCUCUGCCUUCCUGGCUUUCAGAGGGCUGUUUUCCUGCUAUGUCUUCACAUGGCUUUUCCUCAAUGUGUGUAGGGUGGGGAGGAGGAGGGAAAGGGAGAAAGAGAAAAAAUGAAAAUAUGAGAGAGAGAGAGAGAGAGAGAGAAACAAACGAGCAAGCUCUCUGGUGUCUCUUAUGUGGUCAGACCGAGGCCCCAUCUUUCUGACCUCAGAGUCUUCGAUACGUGUAAUCUGGGGGACACACACACUUAGCCCUUAACAAGGUCACCUGUUAGUUAAGUCAGCUUAACUAACUCCAAGAGUUUCAGCUGUGCGGGAAGAGUAAGUCCCAUGGAUCUGCUGUACAACACCGUCACUACAGUUAACACUUUUAACUCAAAAUCCUGUUAAGGAGGGGCAUCUCAUCUUAAACGCUAACACAAAAAAAACCUUAAAUUUAAAAAUUAGAGAAUCUAAGCUGGCGCCGCGGCUCACUAGGCUAAUCCUCCGCCUUGCGGCACCGGCACACCGGGUUCUAGUCCCGGUCGGGGCGCCGGAUUCUGUCCGGGUUGCCCCUCUUCCAGGCCAGCUCUCUGCUGUGGCCAGGGAGUGCAGUGGAGGAUGGCCCAGGUGCUUGGGCCCUGCACCCCAUGGGAGACCAGGAGAAGAACCUGGCUCCUGCCAUCGGAUCAGCGCGGUGCGCCGGCUGCAGCACGCCAGCCACGGCGGCCAUUGGAGGGUGAACCAACGGCAAAGGAAGACCUUUCUGUCUCUCUCUCACUGUCCACUCUUCCUGUCAAAAUAAUAAUAAUAAUAAAAAUUAGAGAAUCUAAUGAGGCAGAUGAGAAAAUUACUUACGUAAGGUCAGCAAGGAAGAAAGCCUUGAGACACUGUGAGUCUAGGUCAAUGAGCCUUGGACACCCACAGAUACUUUAAACAUUAAUAGAAAACAUUUACCACUAGGUUGGAUCUAAAAGGUUGAACCCCACAGUACUUCCAUUGUAUACUUCUAAACUGGUAUAAUCUUGGCAGUUUUGCAGGGUUCAACAUAACAUGAAAGAUAAAUGUGUCUGAAAUGUUUGGUCCAAUGCACGUUUUUGUUUGGCUUGAUAAUGGAGGCUAUCAUUCGUUCUCACCCUAAUUCCUCUGUCAUAUUUAUUGUCUUAGUCCGUAUUUAUUGUCUAGCAGAGUACCUGAGACUAGGCAAUUUCUACUGAGCAGAAACGCAUGGACUCACAGUUCUGGAGGCUGGGAGGUCCAAGAUCCAGGAGCCAGCAUCUGGUGAGGUCCUUCUUCUCACCCAUGGUGAAAAGCGGAGGGAUAGAGGAGGGGGAAGAGAGGAGCUCUCCCUCCCAAAAUAACAGCGUUAAUCUGUUCACUGCGCCCUCAGAGCCUACCACCUCUCAUGAGGCCCCCCUCCCAACACGCUGCACUGGGGAUUUUGCUCUCCACCUGUGCUUUUGAGAGGACGCAUUCAGGCCACAGCACUUAUAUUAUCCACACGGCACCCAUCAUAAGGAGGGCUCGUAUUCAGACACACGUGACCAGAAAAUCCCCAAGUUCAUCGUCAAGAGUUAGUAUUCCAAAGGGUCUCUUGGAUUGGUUUUAAGUGCAGGUUCCAAUUCCAUAGCUCUAGGGUGGGUCCUAGUAACCCACAUCAGAACAGUGCUGCUGGGAUUUUGAAGCAGGUGCACUUAUCACUCUCAGAAGCACCGAACAUAUGGAGCCUUUUGGGCAAUUAAGAUAUAAUUGGGAAGAACUUGAGUAGCACCAAUGAUAGAAAGCCCUUGUCGAGAGCUUACUGUGUGCUAUGUACUAUUCUCACAUAUUAAUUCAUUUAAUUUUCCUGACAACCUGUGAUUCAUAUACUAUCAUUAUCCUUAACUAAGUUUGGAAGGCAAAGGAACACAAACAUAAAGUGACUUUCCUGAGAACAGGUGGCUAAUCAAUGGCAGAGCUGGGAUUUGAACACAGGCAGUGUUGGCUCCCAGAAUCUGGAGCCUAGCCAUGGCUGGCUGCCUUCUAGCUGGCCAGUCUUCAUCACCUAUCAAAAUCACGGAACAGUGCAAGCUUAUUUCAAAAACGGGGUUACCAUGCAAACAACGGUGUGACUUUGCACAAGUUCUUCUUUUAAACCUUCUUUAGUCCUUCUCCCAAAGGAAGGACUUGGUUUUUAAACAGUAAGCUUUUGUUAAAUUAAAAAUCAGGGACUGGCGCUGUGGUAUAGCGGGUAAAGCCACCACUUGCAGUGCCAGCUUCCCAUAUGGGCACCAGUUCAAAUCCUGGCUGCUCCACUUCUGAUCCAGCUCUCUGCUAUGGCCUGGGACAGCAGUAGAAGAUGGCCCAAGUCCUUGGGCCCCUGCACCCACAUGGGAGACCCAGAAGAAGCUCCUGGCUCCUGGCUUCAGAUUGGUGCAGCUGUGGCCAUUGUUGCCAUCUGGGGAGUGAACCCGUGGACAGAAGACCCCCCCACCGCCUCUGCCUCUCUGUAACUCUGCCUUUCAAAUAAAUAAAUAAAUCUUUAAAAAAAUUAAAAAUUACUUAAAUAAAAAUCAGCUGGUCAUCUGUGACAAGCUUUGUUUAAUUGGAGAUUGUUUAAUGCCAGAUGUUAUUCUGAAAUUAUAUCAGUUAAGCCUUGGGACUUUUUGUUUUAGGAGACCGGGUCAAACUUCAAAUCAACUUAAACUCAAAAUUGAAGAGGAUUUUAUUAGCUCACCAACUGGCUGGGACCAAGUUUUAAGAUGAAGUCAUCAAAAUUUCCCCCACCAAUAAUCUUUAUUCCUCCUCCAACGCCUCCUUGCUUGUUUUUGCUCAUGUGAUUUUCUCCACUUACCUUCUCCUACGCUGCAGCAAAAACAGCCCGCUAAAAGCUCUAGUCCACUACCAGUAACAGCGUGACAGUACAACUACAUCAGCAGCCAGAAAUAAACAGUGAAGCCUCCUCUCCUCCUGCAUCCAUAUCUGUUUCUAAGAAGGGCUGUGACUCAAUAUGGGGCACCUGUUCACCCCCAACCCCACCUCUAUAUCCAGGUGGUAGGGGAUUCUGAUUGGCCAGUCUGCCUCUUUUAAUGAGAAGGCAGAACCACCGAUGAACAGUCUUCCUGGAAAGACAGGGAGAAGAGGAUAUUAUAUGGACCAGACCAAAGCUUUAAUAAUAAUAGACACAGUGGUGAUGACUGCCAACAACUAUUCUAGAGUGGGGAGAAUCACCACAUUCCUCAAGUCGUAUGUAUGAAAUGCAUGAAGUUUGUAUUCCUUAAAUAAAAUUUUUUUUGGGAAAAAAAGAACUAUUAUAGGUAUCUAUUCUUCAAUGCCAUCCUGUUUUUUAAUUUAAUUUUUCCCUGAGGUACUUAUAGAUUUACCUGAAGUUGCAAAAAAUAUUUUGUGUACCUUUUAUCUAGUAUAACCCAAUUCUUGAAUUUUUGCAGAACUGUAGUAUGAUAUUGCUGCAUAUUGACAUUGACACAAUC